UCAAGAACCUAAAGAAGACAAAGUGACAAGUGAAAAGUUACUUAAAAGCCAUUGUGAGCUUUAAUGGAGAGGCUAGGAUUACAGAUAAUGUAAUAAACCUUCUGUGAGUUAUGGCUUCCUGAAAGUCUAAAUGAAACCUUACCUGAAGAAGGAAAAUUAAGAGUAUUGAUUGCAUUUUGCCCGUAGGCUUUCGAGACUGGGUUCCAAAGGAGCUUCAAAGAGUGGGCUGCGUGGAGCUUUUAAACACGGUCCAGAGGCGAGUUCGGCCCAAACUCCAUGUAUUUGGUGGAAUCCAUGAAGGUUACGGCAUUAUGACCGACGGUUAUACAACGUACAUCAAUGCCUCAACGUGUACAGUCAGCUUUCAGCCGACCAACCCUCCAAUUAUAUUUGACCUUCCAAACCCACAGGGUUCCUGAAGCUCUAAAAGUCCAAUUGGAAUGUGAGGGAAGGUCUAUAAACUGCCAUUUUUCUAAUUACAAACUUACAUUCUCUUACUUGUUUAUUUCCAAAUCCUGUGAGUUCUUUUUGUAAAUUACUGGAACACAAAUGUCGCUAGAGGUUGUGCUUCUUUAUUAUUACUUUUUUUUAAUGGGGCGUCCAUUCGGAAUGAAAGGAGCAUUGUGAAUUUGUAAAAUGACUUCCGUUUUCUCAAAGGCCACGCCAUUGUAAAUUGUUAGUAUUCGCCAAAGGACAGCCAAGCUUUCUUUUUAAAAGGUGAUGAAAGUCUUAUUUUAAUAUGCUUUAAGCUGGAAGAAAAAGGAAAAAAAAAAAAAGAGAGAGAAACAGGUAGGUAGUGUUUUAAAAACCACCCAGAUUUGCACAACUGUUUAAGAGUAUUGUUUGAAGUAUUUUAUUUUUUGAUGUUUUGUUGUUGUUGUUGUUGUUUUCUUGGUAACCCUUCUUUUUUGCAGACUUGGCCUGGAUUUAUAGCAAUCUUUUCAGCAAAAGUAGGCGUGGAAAAGACUUCUCUUCACACUCUCACUAUAAAGAAAGCUGCGUCCAGGGAAGAAAAUGGCCCUCGUUCAAAGGAUGGCUUAGCUAGUGAGAUCCAUAUUGUGGUUAUACAAGGUCUCAUUGUUUGUUUCUUUUAAAUUAUUUUAGCUUUAAAAAUAUGGAAAUGGAAUCUGUCAAGAGCAGGUAUUUCAUGCAGUUAAAAGAACAGUUGAGCGCGCAGACUCCUUUUCAGUAUGGGUUUAUAUAUAUAUAAAUAUUUUUUGUGUAUUAUGGCUAAGUUAGGAGUUUAAUAUUGCCAAGGACAACUACAAAGGAAUGCUUUAUAGCAGGGCAUCAGAAGUCCGAAGGGGCUGACACAUUUUCUCAGAACUCAAGGUCUCAAAGAGCUUGAGUUAAGUCUAGGUACAAUUACAGGCAUGUACAGACUUACGUGGAUGCAAUGGAAGGUAACUAAAAUGAGGCUUAGUCGUCCUUUAUAUUUAAAUACCCUGAAUUGUCUUCUUACUUCCUCUCCCUCCCCCCAUUUUGCACUGUGUGUCGAUGCAAUCUUCGCUAGCACAAAAUAUUGUCGCUAAUAGUCAUUUCUGUUUUCCCAUUGUAAAUGCUGUUGAGCUUUAUUCUAUUUUAUGUUAUCUUGUUAAUGAAAUUUAGGAAAGCAGUUGUUUCUUUUAAAUUUAUUGUGAUAUUCUAUAUCUAGCGGCCUUUAUAUGCAAAUAAAAUUGCAAGAUUUUUAAAUCUG